rnacentral:rRNA from 1 species
AGAUUGAACGCUGGCGGCAGGCCUAACACAUGCAAGUCGAGCGGUAGAGAGAAGCUUGCUUCUCUUGAGAGCGGCGGACGGGUGAGUAAUGCCUAGGAAUCUGCCUGGUAGUGGGGGAUAACGUUCGGAAACGGACGCUAAUACCGCAUACGUCCUACGGGAGAAAGCAGGGGACCUUCGGGCCUUGCGCUAUCAGAUGAGCCUAGGUCGGAUUAGCUAGUUGGUGAGGUAAUGGCUCACCAAGGCGACGAUCCGUAACUGGUCUGAGAGGAUGAUCAGUCACACUGGAACUGAGACACGGUCCAGACUCCUACGGGAGGCAGCAGUGGGGAAUAUUGGACAAUGGGCGAAAGCCUGAUCCAGCCAUGCCGCGUGUGUGAAGAAGGUCUUCGGAUUGUAAAGCACUUUAAGUUGGGAGGAAGGGCAGUUACCUAAUACGUGAUUGUUUUGACGUUACCGACAGAAUAAGCACCGGCUAACUCUGUGCCAGCAGCCGCGGUAAUACAGAGGGUGCAAGCGUUAAUCGGAAUUACUGGGCGUAAAGCGCGCGUAGGUGGUUAGUUAAGUUGGAUGUGAAAUCCCCGGGCUCAACCUGGGAACUGCAUUCAAAACUGACUGACUAGAGUAUGGUAGAGGGUGGUGGAAUUUCCUGUGUAGCGGUGAAAUGCGUAGAUAUAGGAAGGAACCACCCAGUGGGCGAAGGCGACCC